CCCAGUGUUCAUCUAAUGGUUGAGAAUGGCAGGGUGUGUCCUCCUAUGUGCUGCACUUCCCCCUGUAUUCACAGUUUAGAUUGCAUUGUUUCAGCUACAGGCAAAGAUGAGGACAUGGAGGUGAGACGCCCCUCUGUCCCAUUACUACUACUGAUCAGUUUCUUGGCAGGCAUCGUAAUUAUCCAAGCACCGACUCCCCGCCGCCUGGUGAAUGGGAUUCUGGGAGGAUCAGUCGUGCUAUCUGUGGAUCUAUCCCCCGGGAAAAAGGUGAAAGAAGUCGAAUGGAGCUUUAGUGCUGGGACAGGUGUGAUGAUCCAGCUGGCUGAAUUCAAUGGGGGGAAGUUUGAGCGACCCGAUGCCAGCGACAGAUUUCAACAGAGGCUAGAAAUGUACGAGACCGCACUGAGGAUCAGUGCUCUGGAGCUAAACGAUAGUGGAGUUUAUGAGGCCCGGAUUAAGAUAGUACCAGCAACUGUGGAGGAUCAGGCCUUUCUCCUCGUGGUCUAUGAGCCAGUGCCAGAGCCGGAGAUAAAGAGUCAUGCAGUCUCCAGCACCGCCGAUGGGUGCAAUGUCACUCUGCAGUGUCAGGUGUCUAGCAGGGAGAUUAACAUCUCCUGGACGAGAGGGAACCCGCCCCGAGACCUGAGCAAUUCCAAGCGGUACCAGCUGGCCCCUGAUGGCAGGAUCCUCCGCCUGUUUCUGCAGCCCAACCCCCCAAACGCUACCUUCAACUGCACGGCCAGCAACCCUGUCGACCAGAAGAGCAUCUCUUCUGACCUGCGGAGCAUCUGCCAAAGCAGAGUCUCAGACGCAAACGCAGCCAUGUGGAUGGGGCAUCUUUGUGUUGGGGUGAUCGUCGUCACAGCAGCUUGUGUCGGGAUGUGGCUAUGGAAGAAAAGGAGGAAAAAGCCAGUCAGCAGAGCUGCUGUCCCCACGGUCCCAGAGGAGGAAUGUCCUUCGGAGCCCCACUAUGCUGAGAUCAAGAGGAGGAGCCCUCCGGAGGGGAACGACCAUGUGAGUGCCCUUAGUGGGGAGUUAUCCCACAGUCUUCAGUUCUUCCUUAGGGCCCCGGCACCUCUAGUGGAAAGCAAAGCCAGGGCUGGGCUUAAUGAGUGAACAGCUUGUGGACUUGCAUCACACUGGCCCCAUGGCACCCCACAGCAGCACAUGGUCUCCUGGUCUUGGGGUGACCCGGCCAGCCCAAGCGGGCAAUCUGCAGCACCUCUGACUCUGAGCACCUCCGCUCUGGCCUUCGGGCCUUUCUACUUUGCUUGCAAUUUUUGUUUGAAAUUACCUGACACCUUGGUAACCACAGGAAAUUGCACUGACGGGACUGUGACCCUGCACAAUAUUAAUCAGCCUUGUUUGCUGGAGAGUGAAGCAGCAUCCUGAGCUGCAGCAAGAUGAUAUCGAACUUGCCAGCUAUUGUUUCCCUACAGAGAUAGCAGCUUCUGGUAAAUGACACACACCAGGAAGGGUGUCAGUCUCGCUCCUGUCUCCAGUCUGUUAUUUAUGUAUCCGUGUAUUUGAGUAACUCCCUUCUGCCUCCGAAACUCUCCCUGCUGUUUCAGAGAUAGGGGUUUCUUCUUCACUUCUUGUCCUAAACUGCAGUAAUUGCACUGAUGCCCUUGAAAGGGUCAAUUCAUCAGUUUUGCUGUGUGGUUGUUAAACAGCUGCCACACCCCCACCCCAGAGGUGGCUGCAUUUCAGAGCCGAACACGCGAUCCCUGUACUGUGUUGCUGUGUGAUACGAAACAGCUGCCACACCCCCACCCCAGAGGUGGCUGCAUUUCAGUAGUGGGCAAAAGUGGAAUUUCUACAUAAUUUAGAAUUUUUACGUAGGGAAAACUCCCACUGACAGCAGUAGGAGUUGCAGUGAGUGAGGACUGAGCAAACUCUGAGUAAAGAUCUAGCCCAGUAUGACUGACGGUAUUUCCCAUUGCCCACGAUUCCCCUUAGACACAAGAUCAUUGUUCCUCGAAGACAAAAAUGGUCUUAUUUAUUGUGUGUCUGGAAAGGGGAUAAAUGACUGUGACUCAUUGUUGAAUUCCCUCUUCAUUGAUCUAUGCAGCUACUGAAUUCAGGGACACACACCCAGCUCCUAAGGGCCUUCAGUGAAUGAAGAGCCAUUUCCAGUUCAGGCUAACUAACCAACAAAGACAGGACAACGAAUUCGUUUUCUUUUUCUUGUUCUCUUAGGACCCUGGCUGCCCGAGCGAGAGACCACUGGUCACCACCAUCUAUGAUCAGAUCCGAGUGGUCCCAGCUGGCCCCUCUGAGCAGCUCACCUAGGCCAGGAGCGCCAAGAAAAGUGUGUCGCUGAGACGGCAAAGUCCUGCAACAUCCCAAGAGGAGGUAGAGAGUGGGUGUGUUAUAUUGGGUUGGGAUCAUAUGUCACCUCUCGAGGGGGCAGCUGUGAGACCUUGGAGUUCACAAGACUCUGCUGAAAAUGUGCCAGACACGCAGGGCCUUUUGGGACAAGAAGUGGGAUGUGGAUUUCCCAAUGGAAUCCCAAGGGAUAGGUUCGUGCCAAUUCCCCCGACUCUGGAUCUGCAAAGCCCCCAGCUUUUCGAAGCUGCGCCCUGAGGAGUGGCUCAUUGCCUGCUGCAAACAUGUGAUGUGAGGCCAAGAAAGAAAAAGCUGAUCUGCCCAAUCUCUGCUCUGGUUCCAGAUCUAAGACAGACGAACUUGCAACCGCAGGGGGAAACCCAGUCAUGGGCUUUCAAGGACUGAACCUACCAGAGCCCGAUCUUGGGCCUGGAGCUGAGCUCUGGGAAGCUUUUGAGCUUGUGUCUAGGUUAUUCUGUUGUCUUCAUCUAUUUGCUCUGUAAUCUUUUACCUUAAGAAUAAAGGUGCUUGCCCAGCA